GGCAGGGUAGCUCAGCUGGUUAGAGCGCGACACUCAUAACGUCGAGGUCGCGGGUUCAAGCCCCGCCCCUGCUACUA
rnacentral:tRNA from 1 species